rnacentral:rRNA from 1 species
GUUUGUUUGAAGUUAUAAAUGAUUUGGCCUGCCCCCUGAUUUUGAGUUUAAAGGGCCGCAGUAUUAAUAACUGUGCAAAGGUAGCAUAAUCAUUAGGUUUUUAAUUGGAAUCUUGUAUGAAUGGUUAGACAAAAGAAUAACUCUCUUUAUAUUAAUAUUGAAUUUAACUUUUAAGUGAAAAGGCUUAAAUAAACUAGGGGGACGAUAAGACCCUAUAAAACUUUACAUUGUAGUUAUAUUUUAGUGAAUUUAUAAAUAAAAGUUUAAUUUAAUUAUUUGUUAUGUUGGGGAGAUAUAAGUAAAAUUUAUUUUAACUGCUUAGUAAGUUAUACAAUUAUUAGUGAUAAGUUCAUAAAAGAUCCUUUUUGAAGAUUAAUAGAUUAAGUUACUUUAGGGAUAACAGCGUAAUUUCCUUUAAGAGUUCUUAUCGAAAAGGAAGGUUGCGACCUCGAUGUUGAAUUAAAAAAUCUAUAUAAUGAAGAGGUUAUAUAAGAAGGUCUGUUCGACCUUUAAAAUUUUACAUGAUUUGAGUUCAAACCGGUGUAAG